UACGAAGGGGGCUAGCGUUGCUCGGAAUUACUGGGCGUAAAGCGCACGUAGGCGGCUUUCUAAGUCGGGGGUGAAAUCCUGGAGCUCAACUCCAGAACUGCCUUCGAUACUGGAGAGCUCGAGUCCGGGAGAGGUGAGUGGAACUGCGAGUGUAGAGGUGAAAGUUCGUAGAUAUUCGCAAGAACACCAGUGGCGAAGGCGGCUCACUGGCCCGGUACUGACGCUGAGGUGCGAAAGCGUGGGGAGCAAACAGGG
rnacentral:rRNA from 1 species